rnacentral:rRNA from 1 species
AGAACGAACGCUGGCGGCAGGCUUAACACAUGCAAGUCGAACGCGUGUAGCAAUACACGAGUGGCGCACGGGUGAGUAACGCGUGGAUAUCUGCCUUUUGGUUCGGAAUAACCCCGGGAAACUGGGGCUAAUACCGGAUAGUUCCUACGGGAUAAAGAUUUAUCGCCAAAAGAUGAGUCCGCGUACGAUUAGCUAGUUGGUGAGGUAAUGGCUCACCAAGGCGACGAUCGUUAGCUGGUCUGAGAGGACGAUCAGCCACACUGGGACUGAGACACGGCCCAGACUCCUACGGGAGGCAGCAGUGGGGAAUAUUGGACAAUGGGGGCAACCCUGAUCCAGCCAUGCCGCGUGAGUGAUGAAGGCCUUCGGGUUGUAAAGCUCUUUUGGCGGGGACGAUGAUGACGGUACCCGCAGAUAAGCCCCGGCUAACUUCGUGCCAGCAGCCGC